GUUCCUGGCUCCCUUUCGCCCGCAGGUCGCCCAAGUCCAGCCCCACGACGCAGUGCCGACUCCCCGCCGUGCCCCCAGCCCGGCCCGGGUUGCGGAGCCCUGCUCCUGGGCCUCUGCCUGCUGCGUCCACCCUGGGGGAAGCGCCCGUCGUACCCUCCACACCGGGGGCUUCCCCUGACCCCUUAGGCCCUCCCCCUGCAGGUGCCCUCGCGCCCCUCCCGGGGUCCCCAGGGAAACGUGCUUCCAAUCUUCCAGGAAAAAUUGAAGGCUCCGGAUGAGAAAAAGCAAACAAAGGACAGUGGGACCAUGGGCGUCCCCACCCCCACCACCCGCAGGCCCCACACUCAAACCAGCGCCCGUGCCCACGCCCAUGCAGCCGUCCUCCGCCAGGCCCCAAGAACGGCUGUUACUUUGGGGGUAAUUGAAAAUGUCGAUCAUUAUUCUAGAGCAUAAGUAGGUCACAGGGACACAGGGAGCGAGAGAGAGAGAGAGAGAGAGAGAGGAAACCUGGUCAUGGGAGAGGAUCUGGGGGAGAGAAAGGCCAGCUGGGAGGAUGUGGGCGUGGAGAGGAAGAGGGAGCAGAAGGAACGGGAGGGCGGGCAACUCUCCACCAGUGAGCAGGGCCACGGACUCAGGGGGAUGUGUCCUCCCACCAGCCCCCCACCACACCCCGAAAGGAGCCGGGUGGCAGGAGCUCCUGUUUAGUCCUCCCGUACCUGAGCAGCCCCGAGAGUGGGUGUCUGUGAGUGCUGGGAGCAGGAGUGGGGACCUGGCUUGUCUUCAUGGGGGUGCCCUCUCACGACCACGUGCACAGCGCCCAGAGGCCAGGUCCCAGGCUGGCGGGCUGAGAGCAGCCAGCGGUCCCCUCUCCUGGGGGAAUGCAGGGACUCUCCUGACCUCCCUCCCAUCACCCAUCCCACCUCUCUCUGCAUGUCGGGACAUCUCAUGGUUUGUGGAUUUACUACUCCAGGGCAGUGAGGGGCGCCAGUGAGCCUGGGUGGGCACGUAUCUGUGCAUGAGAUGAGAUGCCUGGGAGAGAGGGAUGGGGCAGGGUGUUUGAAGGCAGUGGUGGUACCAGGUGUGUGUGUGUAGAGUAAGGUGUGGGUCUGUGCAUUUGUGUGUGUGUCUUGCCCCACGUGUGUGCGGUAAGGGACGUGUGUGUGCACAGCCCCUACCUGUGUGCCUCCAGAUGGUGUGUCCAUGUGUCCCUGCAGGCAGGGCCCCUCUUCUGCUCCUGGCCCAGGGCCACCAUCCCCCCAGGUCCUGGGAACCUGAGUGGUGAUUGGCCUUGGGGUUCCCUCCAGCAACAGUGGAACAACAGACCAGCCCCCACCCCAGCCAGUGUCCAAGAGGCUCGUGGGACUGUGAUGUCACCACCAAGCCCUGGCUGAGGUAACCCAACAUGGAGCCAGGCCUGUCUUGCCCCCUAGAGAGAAGAGAGGAACCUCAGGUGGGUCUCCUGCCAGGCACCGAGCCUCAUCCACCCUCCAACAUCUGCUCGUGGUGGGAGAGGGUGAAUUCCCACCCUCUCACGGACACAGCCUCAGACCUCCUGGAGGCCAGGGCUCCAGGUGAAGACCAAGUCUUCGUACCCCCGGACCCAGCCAGAGCCUGGCACAGGGCAGGAGCUUAGCAAAUGUUUGUUGAAUGAAUGAAUGCACGGAUGGGGGCUUUGUGUGUGAUCAAGUGCCAGGCUCCGGAGUCUAGUGACCUGAAGAUACAGAUUCAAGUCCUACAAGGAUCAAACCAGGGCUUCCUGCAAGGUCAAGCGAGAACCCCCUGAGUUGUUCAGAAGGGGCCACGCAGCAGUCGGCCAGACCUGGGAGGCCGUGCCUGACCUUCUGCAAGUCACCUCUCUGGGGGCACUACCACAGGAAAGGCAAUGUCAAGUGAUGGGACUGCUUCAUCCAAAGGUCAAUCCCAAGCUAAAUGACCCUGUCAUUUUGCAGGCCGAGGCACAAGGGAGGCCCCAUUCAUCUUCCCUGGAGUCGGCAUCCCUUUGAUUGCGGGGCCACCUCUCAUCUGAACAUCUUCACCCCCCCCCAAUAUUCCUUCUGAACCCUCCAUCCUCCUUCUCCCCUUCUCUUGGGACCAUAAACCUACCCCAAGAGUGAGUCCUAGCUCCAGGGCCAGCUCCCAAUCCUGCCUCUGUCUGGUGGCAGCUGGGGCCAGGCUGAAGGUCUGUCCUAGACUGAGCCAUAAAGGCAAAAAUAAUACUUACUCCUAAUAGAAGUAAAGCACUUCACCCUAGAUGAGCCCUGGUCCUGGUCACACACAGAACCUAGACCUUUAUUUAGAGAUGGACCAUUAAUUUGUCAUGUGGGCUAGGCAUGGUGGCUCAAACCUGUAAUCCCACUUUGGGAGGCCCAAGCAGGAGGAUCACUUGAGGCCAUGAGUUCGAGACCAGCCUAGGCAACAUAACAAGACCACGUCUCUACAAAAAGAUUUAAAAAUUAACCAGGUUUGGUGGCAUGUGCCUGUAGUCCCAGCUACUGCAGUGAACCAAGAUUGUGCCACUGCACUCCAGCCUGGGCAACGGAGCAAGAUCCUGUCACAAAAAAAAAUUAUCACGUGGCCGAAGUUAUUUCCAGGCUCCGAGCGCCAGCUUCCUCAUCUUUCCAACAGAGGGCCUUCACCUGGGCUAAGUGUUAAAUCAGAAAGCCCCUAUUCAGAGGUUGGCCUGCAGUUCCCUGACCUGGUAACACUGGGGAGCAUUGGCUGCUGUCACCUGCCAGCUCCCACCCCCACCCAACACUUACACACCAAGCAUCACUAAUUUUUGCAGCUGCCAUGAUAAAUGGCACUGUUGGCAAAAUGACAUCUUUCUAAUCUGCCACAAGACAGACGGGUCCCCGAGCUCCCACAGCCUCCCAAGAGCCAGCCCAGGCCAUCCUUGUUGAGAGGAUGGGCAGAUGCAAAGCCCAGGGCCUGGGGGCGGGUGGGAUGGAGAGGAGACCUCAGGGCCCAGAAUCAAGGACAUCCCUAGUGGGGUUUACCACAGGCUCUUUUCUAAAUAUUUAGUUGUAUGUGUGCUUUUAAAAAUAUUCCAAAGAAUAUUAUAUGCUCUGUUCCUUUCUGACCAAAGUUAGGGCUUCAAUUCAAUUUUCUUUUCUUUUCUUUCUUUUUUUUAGACAGGGUCUUGCUGUAUCGCCCAAGCUGGAGUGCAGUGGCACAAUCACAGCUCACUGCAGCCUUGACCUCCUGGGCUCAAGCGAUCCCCCCACCUCAGCCACCUGAGUAGCUGGGUCUAUAGGCGCCAGCUACCAUGCCUGGCUAAUCUUUGUAUUUUAUUUUGUAGACACGGGGUCUCGCCAUGUUGUCCAGGCUGGUCUUGAACUCUUGACCUCAAAUGAUCUGCUUGCCUUGCUCUCCCAAAAUGCUGGGAUUUCAGGCUUGGGCCACUGCACCCAGCCUCAAUUUUCACUUUAAAUUAAAACCUGGAUAUUGUUCAGGUUUAUAAGGAUGAACCAUUAGACACUGGUUCUGAGGCGGUGCUCUCUUCCUGUCACCCUCUGCUCUGCGGAACAGUCUGCCUCUGCCUGAGCCAUUAGGUCUGGGGGCUUUCUCACCCCCCUCCUCCCUCCCACUCCCUCCAUGGCUCCCACCCUCCCACCCAGCCUCUUUGCUGACCUCAGCCGCAUCCCCUCCAUGCCUCACACUGGCCUGGGACUGCCAGGUUCCUGUGUCCAGGAGUAGAGGUGAAUUGGGGCUCUGGAUGCCAAGAACAGAGGAAGGACAAAUGCCAGCCCCAGAGACCCUCACCUCCUCAAGACCAACAGGAGCUGGCGCCUGUCCGCCCAGCAGCAGCAAAGCCAGAGCGGGUGCCAGCCAGGGUGGGUAGGCACAGGCCUGGGCUUGAAGAUUGAGACAGCGCUGCCCCCUCCUGGCUAAUUCACGGCUGCUCCUCUGACAGGCACUGCCAGGCUAAGCUGUUGAGGUUGGGGACAUAGUGAGUGACCCCAAAAACAGCAUGUGACAAGCUGACCUUCCCUGCAGUCUGCCCAGCUGGGAGCUGCCUCCCACUCUGCCCAUCCUGUCCGAGCUUCUCCCAAAGCAUCUUCCGGCCCUCACACCUUCAGGGCAAAGCCCGAGGCCCCUCCCGGCUGCCCACAAUGUGGCCCCGGGUAGCAGCCUCGCCCCCUGCACCCCAGGCCCCUGCUGCUCUGUGCCUCCCCAGUUCCCUGUCACUGCACCUGCAUGCUUUGCUCUCACCUUGACCUCCACCUUCGCCCUCCCCAGCAGUCUCCUCUUGUCCUCUUAGGUCCCUCCCCGAGGAAACUCCUCUCCCAACUCCCAACCAGAGGGACUCCGCUCCUCUGCCUGCACCCCGACCUGCCCUGCCCCUGUCUCGGGGACUGCACACUGUCAGCACAGUCCCACAGUUCUGGAACUUGGGAGAACCUAGACCUCUUCCAAGCCUACCCUGUGCACUGUCUAAAGGGCAAUCCUGAGCCCAGAGAGGGGCAGGAGCUGCACAAGGCCACACAGCCUGUAAUGGCAGUUAGGACUGGAAUGCAGCUCUCCCGAGUCUCUGCCUGGGGCUCCUUGGAGGACAGACACAUGGCUUCCCCACCUGGUGAACCAGAAUGGAACUCUUCAAGGACAGGGACUGUAUCAUUCCUUCCAGUGUCCCCAGCCCCUCACCCAGAGCAGGACCCACAGGAAGCAACUGUGAACAGAAAAGGAAAAAACAAAUACAUGAAAAUGUAUCUCUAAUGUCUUCUGUGUGCCGGACACUCAGCAGGUACCGGCUCUGCUACUAGAAAUCUUGG
rnacentral:lncRNA from 1 species